rnacentral:tRNA from 1 species
CCGGGUGCUGGCCAGGGACGAGGCGCCGAGCUGCCGGCUCGCCGCGCUGGCCGAGCUGUUCCACGCCACCACCCGGCC